CGCUUUUUGUAAAAUUAUUAAGAUAUAAAGAGUUCUGCCUGCCCAGUGACGUAGUUAAACGGCCGCGGUAUUUUGACCGUGCAAAGGUAGCAUAAUCAUUUGCCUCUUAAAUAGAGGCUGGUAUGAAUGGCAAGACGGAGGUUAAGCUGUCUCUUUCUUAUAUCUUGAAUUUAAUAUUUUUGUGAAGAAGCNNAGAAAUUUAUUCGUAGGACGAGAAGACCCUAUCGAGCUUUAAUUAUACAUGUCUAUAAUGGUUGUUAUUUGAUAAGGCUAAUUAGAUUAAGUUUUUGAUUAUAUGAUAUUAUUUUAAGGAUAAUAAAUUUUAGGUAUAAAGGUUUUGAUUGGGGCAAUCAUGGAGAAAAAAUAUCCUCCAUUAAAAAAUAAGAAAUAACACUUUCUGUUAGAAGGAUCCGCUGUAUAGCGAUAAAGGAAUAAGUUACCGUAGGGAUAACAGCGUAAUUUUUUUGGAGAGUUCAUAUUGAUAAAAAAGUUUGCGACCUCGAUGUUGGAUCGAGAUUUCCUAGAGAUGCAGUAGUUUCUAGAGGUUGGUCUGUUCGACCAUUAAAAUCUU
rnacentral:rRNA from 1 species